GAUGAACGCUGGCGGCGUGCCUAAUACAUGCAAGUCGAGCGAACAGACGAGGAGCUUGCUCCUCUGACGUUAGCGGCGGACGGGUGAGUAACACGUGGAUAACCUACCUAUAAGACUGGGAUAACUUCGGGAAACCGGAGCUAAUACCGGAUAAUAUAUUGAACCGCAUGGUUCAAUAGUGAAAGACGGUUUUGCUGUCACUUAUAGAUGGAUCCGCGCCGCAUUAGCUAGUUGGUAAGGUAACGACUUACCGAGGCAACGAUGCGUAGCCGACCUGAGAGGGUGAUCGGCCACACUGGAACUGAGACACGGUCCAGACUCCUACGGGAGGCAGCAGUAGGGAAUCUUCCGCAAUGGGCGAAAGCCUGACGGAGCAACGCCGCGUGAGUGAUGAAGGUCUUCGGAUCGUAAAACUCUGUUAUUAGGGAAGAACAAAUGUGUAAGUAACUAUGCACGUCUUGACGGUACCUAAUCAGAAAGCCACGGCUAACUACGUG
rnacentral:rRNA from 1 species